UUCAAGCCCCCUGUUUUCUGCUAAGACUUGUUGACUUGGCCAAGCCUGAGGCCAUUUCUCAUGGUGCUCUCUGGAACACCUGUCAAGCAGGGGCUGGACUGAGCCCAGCAACUCAUUCCAGAUGACACCACGCAAUCCUUAGCUUCUAAUGACUCCUAGCUAUUGCUUCUCUGAAUACAACUAUAAUUGGUAACCUCAGAGUGAAAGAGUUUCUUCAUCCCUUGACUAAUUUCCUCUGCCAUUCAGGCCCACCAAAUCGGUUUGUGUGCAUACUCCAUUUUAUCAAACAAUGCUGCUUGGAGGUAAAUCAACAUUGUUUUUCUCCUGUAUCCACAUAGCAUCAAACCAGCCACUAUGAAAGAAAAUUAACUCUAUUUCAGCCGAAACCAGGAUGGGAAUAUUAGCUGCUAUUUGCAGCAGCACGUGGCUAAGAAGUCAAAUGCAACAGUUCAGAACACAGACUGGAAAAAAGCAAGAACGAAAUGGUUGCCUGAGGAAAUAUCCUAACAAACCAGAGAGAGAUUUCAACAUGUUCAUUUGCAUUGGCACCACAAAAUGUCAGGUCUCAAAAUGGAAAUGGGCCGACAUUGUCUAGGACCUAUUCCAGGAAAUGCCUCUUGGAUAGAAGCGCUCUCUUGCUGCUCCUUCUCCAUGACCGUGUGAGGAGAAGUAUCUAAAAUAGGUCAUUGUUAUGCAUGGAGAGAGCCCUGCUCCCCAGGCUCCCUCGGUUUCCAACAAAACAGGCUUUGGAGGUGGAGGUGCCAAUCAGUGCCAGUGAUGAGACCAGAUGCGUCCAUAAGGUAGGAAAUGGGAACCCACAAAUUGCUCUCAGAGAGGCUGAGCAGCUGUUGGACUGUGGAGGUCUCUGGCCCUUUCUGACCCGGGCCAUUGACCUACAAGUGAAAAGUGUGAAAUCUCCGUGCCAGCAGAGCGGUGAGUUCUCAUUCCACGUUCAGUUGCUGCCAUCUGAUGGCAGAUUGGGAGUAAAAGAGCCUCGUGCAAUAUGAAUGUCUUGUCCAGAGAAGGGCAAUAGAGCUGUGAGGAAUCUGGAACACAAGUCUUAUGGGAUGGGGCUGAGAGAACUGGAAUAGUGUGGUCUGGAGAAGAGGAGGCUCAGAGGAGACCUUAUUGCCCUCUGUAACUGCUUGAAAGGAGGCUGUGGUGAGGUAGGGGUCAGACUGCUGCUGGGGAACAGUUGAUAGGAUGGGAGGCAAUGGCCUCAAGUUGCUACAGAGGAGGUUCAGAUCGGAUAUUAGGAACAAUUUCUUCUCAGAAAGAGUGGUGAUACACUGGCACUGCUGCACAGGGAGUGCUGGAGUCACCGUCCCUGGAGAUGUUCAAGAACUCUGGAUAUGUGGCACUGAGGGAUGUGGUCAGUGGGGGUGGGUUGGGCUCUGCCCAUACACUUCCAAAUUAUACUUCAAGCCCUACUACCUCACACUGUCUUACAAAAGAGAAAAGUUAGAUUUUGAAUAUUUCUUCCUGCAUCCUUGCACUGCAGCUGUAAGGUAUCCAUGAGCAUGGUCAUGAUGGGUCUGCAGCCCAGGGAGAUGUGGAGCAGCUACCAGCAGCUUUUGUGCAGCCCAGUGGUGAGAGCACUUGUACAGCCUCAUAGUUACCAGGUACGUGACUGGGGGUUAACAGCAAUCUCUGGACAGAAUAAUAGAAAGAGCUGUAGAAUUCCCCUCUGCUUGGCUGAAGGAUUUGCUGUCAGAAAUUAAGUCCACGAGCAAGGUGAUAUGGAAGAGUGGAAGGAAAACUUUU